rnacentral:misc_RNA from 1 species
CCGAGUUUACAACUCCCAAACCCCUGUGAACAUACCUAUCGUUGCUUCGGCGGAUCCGCCCCGGCGCCCUCGGGCCCGGAUCGGGCGCCCGCCGGAGACCCAAACUCUUGUAUUUAUUUAUGUAUCUUCUGAGUAAACAAGCAAAUAAAUUA